UUAACAGACAGAGCAACGUGCUGAUAGAGGAACAUUAGCUACGUAGGCCUACCAGCACAUCCCUACACCCACGUGCCUACACCUUUCCUCUAACAACAGACAAAACUACGUGGCAAUAGACGAUAAUAGUUAUAGGGUGUACCGUACGUAGUUCAUUCAGCGCCUCCUCACAACCGAGAGAGCCCGGGUUCGAUUCGCGGGCGGAGUGGAAAAAUUUUGGCGGCUUUCCCGAUACCCUACGCCCCUGUCCACCCAGCAGUGAAUGGGUACCAGGUAUUAAUCGGGGGUUGUGUCCCGUCUCCUGGGAUCUGUUCCCUUCUAUAAUUCCUUCCCCUCCUGUCUCUCUCCGGCAUAUGACCACAGAUGUUGCGCCGACUAAACGAAACUUUCCAACUUUACUUUCACACCCUUCCUCUACUAACACACAAAGCUACGUGGCAAUAAUCGAUAAUAAGUUAUAGGUGUUCAAAUCAACGUUUCCUCACACCGACUAGUAACAGACAAAACUACGUGUCAAUAGAGGAUAACUAGCUACGUAAUAGUCCAACCAUCGUCUCCUCACAUCAUCUAGUACCUAACAGACAAACUAUGUGCCAGUAGGCGAUAAUAAUUGUUCGUGGUCCAAUCAGAGUUUCCUUCAACGUUGCCAGAUUAUCGUACUCAACCGCUAAUAUUUCCCGGCUUCCUACCCCAAAACGGUCUUCUGGACUCCAAUAACGAAACGCAUUUAUGGUUAUCGUUACAAGAGUUAGAUCCUGAUGUUUCUUGGCAAUAGUUAGGCGUCAGAAACCGGUAAAUACUAUGCUCUGAGUACGACAAUUUGGCAACGGUGGUUUCCUUACACUCUUCCUCUAGUAACAUACAAAAUUUCCUGCUCUAUUCUGUUCCGUUUUGGUGAGUUUGACAGGAAGCUCCCUAACACACCAUGCUUUUAAGUGUGACAUGUUAUAGAUUGACCAACUAUUUAUUUUAUCUCUAUCUCUCAUUCAGUCGCUCUCCCAUUCCCUUCGUUUCGGGGUUUUGGCAGUAAGCUCCCUAACACACCAUGCUUUUAAGUGUGACAUGUUAUAGAUUGACCAACUAUUUCUUUUCUCUCUCCCUCUCAUUCAGUCCCUCUCCCAUUCUCUCCCUUCGGCUCCGUUUCGUGGUAUUGGAACAGCCGGAGAAGAGGAAGCUCGUCUGUGCGGGCAAGUGGUCGUUACGGUGAUUGGUAGAACGACCACCUGCGUCCUUGCCCCAAUACUACUUCUCUACGCCUGUUUGGACUUGAUAUAUUCGCCUCAUUAUGCGUUGUAGCGUUUAGGUUUAGGUGAGGGAGAUUAUGGCGGUGUGACGAACGGAGGAAUGUAGUUUUGGGAUGAGUCAUUAUUCGAUGCUUCAAUGAGUUACUUUUUACAUUAUUAUUGUUAUUUGCUUUCUUUGCCUCACUCACAUUCCCCUUCUCUCUCUCUCUCUCUCUCUCUCUCUCUCUCUCUCUCUCUCUCUCUCUCUCUCUCUCUCUCCUUUGCCAAUCUCCCUUGUUCUCAUUUCCACUGAUGAAGGUCAAAUUAAUUAUACAAUACCCGAAGCAUUGCCCACAAAUAUAAGUAGAAAUACAAAAGCAAUAUAAGCAAUACUAUAUUUUUUCAUAACAUCUGCUCCUGCUGCUUCUGUUAAUGCUACUGCUAUUAAAACGUCAUUGAUCUAUGUAGGCCUAUUUAUACGAAGCCAAUCUUCAAUGAUAUAUAGGAAAAAAGAGAAUUCGUUGCUUAAUAAAUCAAAUGUAAGUUUCUAUUUGAUAUGCACAUAAUGUAUUUGUAUAAGGAUGUGUGUGUGUGUGUGUGUGUGUGUGUGUGUGUGUGUGUGUGUGUGUGUGUGUGUGUGUGUGUGUGUGUGUGUGUGUGUGUGUGUGAUAGUUUCAAGCAGUUAUCCCUACAAAUAUUUUUCCCGUUUUCUUCGUUAGUUCAUCAGCCUACAUACUAUCGUUGCCAUGGAAACCGUUACCUAUCACAUUCCUCAACAGUGUUAUUCGUGUAGAACAAUCAGUAGACCACUUUUAGAUAUUCGCAAUAUAUCAAACUCAAAUGAUGGAUAUUUAUGGGUAUGUUUAGAAUAAUUGUAAUAAGCUUAUGUGAUCACGAGGGCGGGGCUUGGGAUGAAAAGAAGGCUUGUGAUUGGCUGGAGACUGGCGUGACCUGUGACGUCAUCGCGGCAGCUCACGGGAGGCCUCGGAGCACCGUUGCCAGAUUAUCGUACUCAGAGCCUCGUACUUACCGGUUUCUGAGAUUGCCCAAAAAACACCAAUAAUUAACCACUUUAACGAUAAUUACAUAUGAAGGCAGUUAUUAAGGUCGAGGAGGCAGUUUUUAGGUCGGAAAUCGGCAAACAUAGGAGGCUGAGUACGACAAUCUGACAACGUUGCCUCUGAGCACCGUUGCCAGAUUAUCGUACUCAAAACAUCGAAUAUUCCGGUAUCUGAGCCACAACUAUUGCAAAAGAACACCAAUAAUUAACCAUUUCAACGAUAGCUAUAAAUAAAUCUAGUUACUCGGGUGGAGGAGACAGUUUUGGGGUAGGAAAUCGGCAAAUAUUAUAAGUGGCUGAGUACGACAAUCUGGUACUGCUUCAGUCGGAGUUUGGGGCCCAGAUUAUCAUACUCAUCGCAUUGCACUGUCGUAGUUUCUGACCGAUAACUAAAGCAAAAAACACAAAAAGCAUCAAUAAAUAACAGUUUUAACGCUAACUUUAAUGUUCUAUCGUUGUUUGUGUGGUUGCGGCAGUCUUCCGGCCUAAAAAUGAUAAAUGCAAUGUUCAGAGUACGACAAUUUGGCAACGCUGGACUUUGGGCACGGCGGCAAGCAGGGGAGGAGGACGUGUGACCCGCCAGUGAUCAAUUUUAUCCGAUUUUUGUGAGUGACAUGUGACGUGCGCGAUCCUCGUCCUCAUCGUCGUGGAGGGCAAGGCGUGGCGUGUUCAGGAGGCGAGCAGGGGAGAGAGAACGACCCCAGCACGGUGGGCGGGGGCAGAAGUGGGGCCUCCCUCUCGUACUCCCUGGAGUGCAGCACAAUGAAGCAGUCUGGAAGAGGCGGUGGACUGAAUAUUAGUGUCAGUGUAUCGUCUCCUCCACAACCAGUAGGAAAGGGAAGUAAAAUGAUCCCUGCUCCCUCUAGCGCCAUCUCCCUAAGCAGCAGUCUUGAAAGGUAAAGUAACAGCCCCAUAGUCUCCAGUGUUCACUAAGGUUAUUCUAAAUACUAUAAGGUUACUCAAUACAAUAUCCGAAUAUGUGCUUCUGUAGGCUGCCUCUCCAGUAGGAACUGUUUUUCAAGUUAACCCUUCGGUGCACCUCCACCACCUCAUAGUAUGCAGCAAGGUAUAAUACUGUCAUCUUAGUUUGAGAAAAUACCAGUUAAGGUUAAGGAUGUUGAGAUGCACAGAUUUUUAUGGUUUUCAUUAUCUGUAUUUUAGUCGGUCUCUUAAUGGACUGAAUAGUUUUUUUGAUCGAAAAAUUCAAAUUGCUGAUGAAAUGAGUUAAACACGCUGAAUAAUAACAGAUGGUUGUGGCGACAUUUUCCGUACGUUUCAGCUGGGACCGCUCCUACUCUCAGACCGCUACACCGGCCCACUAGUCAGAGCUUUCUCAAGAGGUAGUUACUGGAUAUUAAUUGUGGGUAUAUCCCAAGGGAGGGCAGCCCAUGAUGUAACAACACUCCAUGGGAAUUAUGGCUUUCUUAAUACACCUGAUUAAAGCCUUCAGUGUGAGCCGUGUCUAAAGAGAAGUACAACCAAUCCCACCAAGGGUUGCCCGGCGGCCUUCAGGUGUAGGGUGCAUUAUUUCUUUAGCUGUCUGCAUCGGGAUCUUCCGCUAGUACUGAGAAUCAAUGAAAAUAUGAAUACACGAACACAUGAAUAGUAAUAAACCUCAGUAACCUCUCCAUCUUUCAUGCAUGCUCUAAUAUAGGAAAACAAGACUUAU